UUAAGUUAGAAAGGGCGCACGGUGGAUGCCUUGACACUAGGAGUCGAUGAAGGACGGGACUAACGCCGAUAUGCUUCGGGGAGCUGUAAGUAAGCUUUGAUCCGAAGAUUUCCGAAUGGGGAAACCCACCAUACGUAAUGGUAUGGUAUCCUUAUCUGAAUACAUAGGAUAAGGAAGACAGACCCAGGGAACUGAAACAUCUAAGUACCUGGAGGAAGAGAAAGCAAAUGCGAUUUCCUGAGUAGCGGCGAGCGAAACGGAACAUAGCCCAAACCAAGAGGCUUGCCUCUUGGGGUUGUAGGACAUUCUAUACGGAGUUACAAAGGAACGAGGUAGACGAAGCGACCUGGAAAGGUCCGUCGUAGAGGGUAACAACCCCGUAGUCGAAACUUCGUUCUCUCUUGAAUGUAUCCUGAGUACGGCGGAACACGUGAAAUUCCGUCGGAAUCUGGGAGGACCAUCUCCCAAGGCUAAAUACUCCCUAGUGAUCGAUAGUGAACCAGUACCGUGAGGGAAAGGUGAAAAGCACCCCGGAAGGGGAGUGAAAGAGAUCCUGAAACCGUGUGCCUACAAAUAGUCAGAGCCCGUUAACGGGUGAUGGCGUGCCUUUUGUAGAAUGAACCGGCGAGUUACGAUCCCGUGCGAGGUUAAGCUGAAGAGGCGGAGCCGCAGCGAAAGCGAGUCUGAAUAGGGCGUUUAGUACGUGGUCGUAGACCCGAAACCAGGUGAUCUACCCAUGUCCAGGGUGAAGUUCAGGUAACACUGAAUGGAGGCCCGAACCCACGCACGUUGAAAAGUGCGGGGAUGAGGUGUGGGUAGCGGAGAAAUUCCAAUCGAACCUGGAGAUAGCUGGUUCUCCCCGAAAUAGCUUUAGGGCUAGCCUUAAGUGUAAGAGUCUUGGAGGUAGAGCACUGAUUGGACUAGGGGUCCUCAUCGGAUUACCGAAUUCAGUCAAACUCCGAAUGCCAAUGACUUAUCCUUAGGAGUCAGACUGCGAGUGAUAAGAUCCGUAGUCAAAAGGGAAACAGCCCAGACCGCCAGCUAAGGUCCCAAAGUGUGUAUUAAGUGGAAAAGGAUGUGGAGUUGCUUAGACAACUAGGAUGUUGGCUUAGAAGCAGCCACCAUUUAAAGAGUGCGUAAUAGCUCACUAGUCGAGUGACUCUGCGCCGAAAAUGUACCGGGGCUAAAUACACCACCGAAGCUGCGGAUUGAUACCAAUGGUAUCAGUGGUAGGGGAGCGUUCUAAGGACAGUGAAGUCAGACCGGAAGGACUGGUGGAGUGCUUAGAAGUGAGAAUGCCGGUAUGAGUAGCGAAAGACGGGUGAGAAUCCCGUCCACCGAAUGCCUAAGGUUUCCUGAGGAAGGCUCGUCCGCUCAGGGUUAGUCAGGACCUAAGCCGAGGCCGACAGGCGUAGGCGAUGGACAACAGGUUGAUAUUCCUGUACCACCUCUUUAUCGUUUGAGCAAUGGAGGGACGCAGAAGGAUAGAAGAAGCGUGCGAUUGGUUGUGCACGUCCAAGCAGUUAGGCUGAUAAGUAGGCAAAUCCGCUUAUCGUAAAGGCUGAGCUGUGAUGGGGAAGCUCCUUAUGGAGCGAAGUCUUUGAUUCCCCGCUGCCAAGAAAAGCUUCUAGCGAGAUAAAAGGUGCCUGUACCGCAAACCGACACAGGUAGGCGAGGAGAGAAUCCUAAGGUGUGCGAGAGAACUCUGGUUAAGGAACUCGGCAAAAUGACCCCGUAACUUCGGGAGAAGGGGUGCUUUCUUAACGGAAAGCCGCAGUGAAUAGGCCCAAGCGACUGUUUAGCAAAAACACAGCUCUCUGCGAAGCCGUAAGGCGAAGUAUAGGGGGUGACACCUGCCCGGUGCUGGAAGGUUAAGGAGAGGGGUUAGCGUAAGCGAAGCUCUGAACUGAAGCCCCAGUAAACGGCGGCCGUAACUAUAACGGUCCUAAGGUAGCGAAAUUCCUUGUCGGGUAAGUUCCGACCCGCACGAAAGGUGUAACGAUUUGGGCACUGUCUCAACCAGAGACUCGGUGAAAUUAUAGUACCUGUGAAGAUGCAGGUUACCCGCGACAGGACGGAAAGACCCCGUGGAGCUUUACUGUAGCCUGAUAUUGAAUUUUGGUACAGUUUGUACAGGAUAGGCGGGAGCCAUUGAAACCGGAGCGCUAGCUUCGGUGGAGGCGCUGGUGGGAUACCGCCCUGACUGUAUUGAAAUUCUAACCUACGGGUCUUAUCGACCCGGGAGACAGUGUCAGGUGGGCAGUUUGACUGGGGCGGUCGCCUCCUAAAGUGUAACGGAGGCGCCCAAAGGUUCCCUCAGAAUGGUUGGAAAUCAUUCGUAGAGUGCAAAGGCAUAAGGGAGCUUGACUGCGAGACCUACAAGUCGAGCAGGGACGAAAGUCGGGCUUAGUGAUCCGGUGGUUCCGCAUGGAAGGGCCAUCGCUCAACGGAUAAAAGCUACCCCGGGGAUAACAGGCUUAUCUCCCCCAAGAGUCCACAUCGACGGGGAGGUUUGGCACCUCGAUGUCGGCUCAUCGCAUCCUGGGGCUGUAGUCGGUCCCAAGGGUUGGGCUGUUCGCCCAUUAAAGCGGUACGCGAGCUGGGUUCAGAACGUCGUGAGACAGUUCGGUCCCUAUCCGUCGUGGGCGUAGGAAAUUUGAGAGGAGCUGUCCUUAGUACGAGAGGACCGGGAUGGACGCACCGCUGGUGUACCAGUUGUUCUGCCAAGGGCAUAGCUGGGUAGCUAUGUGCGGAAGGGAUAAGUGCUGAAAGCAUCUAAGCAUGAAGCCCCCCUCAAGAUGAGAUUUCCCAUAGCGUAAGCUAGUAAGAUCCCUGAAAGAUGAUCAGGUUGAUAGGUUCGAGGUGGAAGCAUGGUGACAUGUGGAGCUGACGAAUACUAAUAGAUCGAGGACUUAACCA
rnacentral:rRNA from 1 species